rnacentral:rRNA from 1 species
GAGUUUGAUCCUGGCUCAGAACGAACGCUGGCGGCAGGCCUCAAACAUGCAAGUCUAGGGGGUGUAGCAAUACAUCACCGGCGGACGGGUGCGUAACACGUGGGAAUAUACCUUUUGGUUCGGAACAACGCAGGGAAACUUGCGCUAAUACCGAAUGUGCCCUUACGGGGAAAGAUUUAUCGCCAAAGGAUUAGCCCGCGUCCGAUUAGCUAGUUGGUGAGGUAAUGGCUCACCAAGGCUCCGAUCGGUAGCUGUUCUGAGAGGAAGAUCAGCCACACUGGGACUGAGACACGGCCCAGACUCCUACGGGAGGCAGCAGUUGGGAAUCUUGGACAAUGGGGGAAACCCUGAUCCAGCCAUGCCGCGUGAGUGAUGAAGGCCUUCGGUUGUAAACU